ensembl:snRNA U1 U1 spliceosomal RNA
AUAUUUACCUGGCAGGGGAGAGACCAUGAAGGUGGCUGUCCCUGGGCAGGGAGGCUUGUCCAUUGCACUCUGGAUAUGCUGGCCCCAGCGGUUUCCCCAAAUAUGGGAAAUCAGACUGCAUAAUUUGUGGUAAAGAGGGUCUGAAUUCAUGACUUCC